rnacentral:rRNA from 1 species
GACGAACGCUGGCGGCGUGCUUAACACAUGCAAGUCGAACGGAAAGGCCCUGCUUUUGUGGGGUGCUCGAGUGGCGAACGGGUGAGUAACACGUGAGUAACCUGCCCUUGACUUUGGGAUAACCUCAGGAAACUGGGGCUAAUACCGGAUAGGAGCCCCUGCUGCAUGGUGGGGGUUGGAAAGUUUCGGCGGUUGGGGAUGGACUCGCGGCUUAUCAGCUUGUUGGUGGGGUAGUGGCUUACCAAGGCUUUGACGGGUAGCCGGCCUGAGAGGGUGACCGGCCACAUUGGGACUGAGAUACGGCCCAGACUCCUACGGGAGGCAGCAGUGGGGAAUAUUGCACAAUGGGCGGAAGCCUGAUGCAGCAACGCCGCGUGCGGGAUGACGGCCUUCGGGUUGUAAACCGCUUUCGCCUGUGACGAAGCGUGAGUGACGGUAAUGGGUAAAGAAGCACCGGCUAACUACGUG